rnacentral:lncRNA from 1 species
GCCCAGAUUAAAACAAAAUGGACGGCUGAGAUCAAAAGGCAAGGGGUUAUAAAUAGAACCCCCACACCAGACCACAAACCCUAGCCGCCUGCCGCUCGCCGGAGAAGACGAACCAGAGGCCGACCGCCGCCACCCGCCGCCGCACCGGGGAAAUUUUCGACCGCCGACCGAGGUAAAUUUCAUACCCCCGACUCGUUUUUCCACGCUGAUUCCUCCUAUGGCCAAAUCGAAGCCAAAAUCCCGGCCAAACGGCCGGAAUACGCGGCCGAAGACCAGCGGCGCCGCCGCGCCCCCUCUCAGUUUUUGCCUCCGACGAGGCCCUUCCCGACCUCCGUUCGAUGCAAUUUUUAUAUCACCGUGAUCACCAUUCUUUUCUCUACAGGUUGACUGGAGCCGAAUCACCAAAACACGAACCUCGCCGGAGAGCCGCCGCAUCCGAGAGCGCCGCCGCC